CUGAAAAUGAUGACGUCCGAAGCCUCGCUGCCCGGCUGUAGCACGUGACUGGUUCAGGAAGUGGUUCGAACUUUGCCGCGAGCUAUGACAGCGAUAUAAACCCCUCAGACUUCAUUCAAAAUUUGGGUGUUUGAUGGAGAGUUGCGGUUAGUGAGAGUUUGGAGGUUGGAGUGAGGAGAGAAAGUCAGGAGAGAAUGGAGCCAGCUAAGAAGAGGAGGAUGUCCUCCCCUGUGUGGGAACAUUUUGAUCUUAUUCCUCCCAACAAGGCACUACAGAGCUUUGCAUGAGAAUAAGGGGAACACCGAUUGUGGAGCAAGACCAGGAGAACAAUCUCAAAUAGAUGAAGACCUGGUUAGCAUGGUGAUUGAGGACUCCCAGCCAUUUAGCAUUGUGGAGGACAAAGGAUUUAAAAGAUCUGUUCAAUCAUUAAAUCCUAGCUAUGUUCUCCCCACUAAAAAGGUCAUAAAAGCAGUGAAAAUCUAGUUUUUACAGAAUAAAAUGUGAAC